GACGAACGCUGGCGGCGUGCCUAAUACAUGCAAGUAGAACGCACAGUUUAUACCGUAGCUUGCUACACCAUAAACUGUGAGUUGCGAACGGGUGAGUAACGCGUAGGUAACCUGCCUGGUAGCGGGGGAUAACUAUUGGAAACGAUAGCUAAUACCGCAUAAUAUUAAUUAUUGCAUGAUAAUUGAUUGAAAGAUGCAAUUGCAUCACUACCAGAUGGACCUGCGUUGUAUUAGCUAGUAGGUGAGGUAACGGCUCACCUAGGCGACGAUACAUAGCCGACCUGAGAGGGUGAUCGGCCACACUGGGACUGAGACACGGCCCAGACUCCUACGGGAGGCAGCAGUAGGGAAUCUUCGGCAAUGGACGAAAGUCUGACCGAGCAACGCCGCGUGAGUGAAGAAGGUUUUCGGAUCGUAAAGCUCUGUUGUAAGAGAAGAACGGGUGUGAGAGUGGAAAGUUCACACUGCGACGGUAUCUUACCAGAAAGGGACGGCUAACUACGUG
rnacentral:rRNA from 1 species